rnacentral:tRNA from 1 species
GCAGAAAUGGUGGAAUGGUAGACACGAGGGACUUAAAAUCCCUUGCCUGAUGAAGGCGUGUGGGUUCGAGUCCCACUUUCUGUA